AACGGACGCUGGCGGCAUGCCUAACACAUGCAAGUCGAACGAGACCUUCGGGUCUAGUGGCGCACGGGUGCGUAACGCGUGGGAAUCUGCCCUUGGGUUCGGAAUAACCCGCCGAAAGGCGUGCUAAUACCGGAUGAUGUCGUAAGACCAAAGAUUUAUCGCCCAGGGAUGGGCCCGCGUAAGAUUAGGUAGUUGGUGAGGUAAAGGCUCACCAAGCCGACGAUCUUCAGCUGGUCUGAGAGGAUGAUCAGCCACACUGGGACUGAGACACGGCCCAG
rnacentral:rRNA from 1 species